rnacentral:rRNA from 1 species
UACGUAGGGAGCAAGCGUUGUCCGGAAUCAUUGGGCGUAAAGAGCGUGUAGGCGGCCAGAUAAGUCCGCUGUGAAAUCUCGAGGCUCAACUUCGAGCUGUCGGUGGAAACUGUCUGGCUAGAGUCCGGAAGAGGAGAAUGGAAUUCCUGGUGUAGCGGUGAAAUGCGCAGAUAUCAGGAAGAACACCCGUGGCGAAGGCGGUUCUCUGGGACGGUACUGACGCUGAGACGCGAAAGCGUGGGGAGCGAACAGG